AUUGAACGCUGGCGGCAGGCCUAACACAUGCAAGUCGAGCGGAGCGGCGGACGGGUGAGUAAUGCCUAGGAAUCUGCCUGGCAGCGGGGGAUAACGUCCGGAAACGGGCGCUAAUCCCGCAUACUAUCAGAUGAGCUUAGGUCGGAUUAGCUAGUUGGUGGGGUAAAGGCCUAACAAGGCGACGACCCGUAACUGGGCUGAGAGGAUGAUCACUCAGACUGGAACUGAGACACGGUCCAGACUCCUACGGGAGGAAGCAGGGGGGAAUAUUGGACAAUGGGCGAAAGCCUAAUCCAGCAAUGCCGCGUGUGUGAAGAGGGUCUUCGGUCUGUAAGGCACUUUAAGUUGGGAGGCGUUACCAACAGAAUAAGCACCGGCUAACUUCGUGCCAGCAGCCGCGGUAAUAC
rnacentral:rRNA from 1 species